UACGAAGGGUGCAAGCGUUGUCCGGAAUUAUUGGGCGUAAAGAGCUCGUAGGCGGUCUGUCGCGUCUGCUGUGAAAACUCGGGGCUUAACCCCGGGCCUGCAGUGGGUACGGGCAAACUAGAGUGUGGUAGGGGAGACUGGAAUUCCUGGUGUAGCGGUGAAAUGCGCAGAUAUCAGGAGGAACACCGGCGGCGAAGGCGGGUCUCUGGGCCAUAACUGACGCUGAGGAGCGAAAGCGUGGGGAGCGAACAGG
rnacentral:rRNA from 1 species